UUAGUAAUAAUAUUGAAUGAGUCAGUCAAUAGCUUAUCUUUUAGAAACAUGAUUAGUAUAAUUCAUAUAAUUCUUGUAACUAUAAAUUUAUAAAAAUAAAUAAUUAAUUUAAAAUUUAAAAUUAAAAUAAUAUUGACUGAUUCAAAUUAAAUAAAUUAAAUUAGUAAAAUUAGCCGGUCCAUAGUUCAUACUAAUUUUUUCAAAAAAUACGCGUUACCCAAUAACUUCCCCAGCGUCCAAGUAGGGUGCACCAUGUCACGACAUAAGGAUUUUCUCCGCGAUUUCGCUUUGCAAUCACCCAAACUCCAAAGCGGACAUCUGACGGAGGUUUUGGCUUGGAACCUUCUGGAAGCUUCUAUGUGGAUCUCGAGGCUGAUUGGCGCGGAUGCCGAGGAGUCAAGAGUCCCUUAGAGUUUCUAGGUAGGCAAUAAAUGUAUGACUCUUCGAGUCUCGAUGCUAUUUAUUAUGACUCUUGGGUGACCGUAGCGUACUUAUUGGCCUCCCCUUUUCGCUAGUAGUAUUGUGCCAUUUGGCACCUUUUCAUUUGCUUUAUGGGCGGCGAGUGGCCUAUAAAUAAUGUUGCCUCCACCCCUCUCAUUUCAGAAUCCACCAUUGUAUUCUCAAGUUGAAGUAAUAGAAGAGCUUUCUUCUUAUCUCUCUCUUGUACUUAGUCUAGGGCGAGUGAGGUCCUAACUUAGCAAGUAGAGAGGCAGGCUUGCUCACUUCGCGAAGGAAGGCGAGCGCCGCACGGGCUUUUGCGAGCAAAUUCGUUAAGUCCGUGACAACCAGGUGCCCUCCGUACGGACGACUCGA
rnacentral:lncRNA from 1 species